GCUUUGGUAUAUCUAUGCAUAUUGGGCAUAAAACUGUUCCAUAGACCCUUGGCGUCAAUAUUUAGGGUGUUUUACAAUUGUAUGUAAGAAAUUGGGUGAGAUAAAUGCGGCCAAUUGCAAUAUUUUUAGACAAUUUUCAGAAAU